AGUGAACGCUGGCGGCAGGCCUAACACAUGCAAGUCGAACGGCAGCACAGUAAGAGCUUGCUCUUACGGGUGGCGAGUGGCGGACGGGUGAGGAAUACAUCGGAAUCUACUUUUUCGUGGGGGAUAACGUAGGGAAACUUACGCUAAUACAGCAUACGACCUACGGGUGAAAGCAGGGGAUCUUCGGACCUUGCGCGAGUGAAUGAGCCGAUGUCGGAUUAGCUAGUUGGCGGGGUAAAGGCCCACCAAGGCGACGAUCCGUAGCUGGUCUGAGAGGAUGAUCAGCCACACUGGAACUGAGACACGGUCCAGACUCCUACGGGAGGCAGCAGUGGGGAAUAUUGGGCAAUGGGCGCAAGCCUGAUCCAGCCAUACCGCGUGAGUGAAGAAGGCCUUCGGGUUGUAAAGCCCUGUUGUUGGGAAAGAAAAACAGCGGGUUUAUACCCCGCUGUUCUGACGGUACCCAAAGAAUAAGCACCGGCUAACUUCGUG
rnacentral:rRNA from 1 species